GGCUCUGUCCUCCUGGACACGAUGCCGACCGAUGCCAGGGUCCGUCCCGAAGGUGGCCUCUUGGCCUUGGUCCCUGAGCAUC
rnacentral:sRNA from 1 species